AACGGCCAGUCCCGGAAAUACAAAUACGGCCAUCUUAGCCUAAACGAAAUCCAAAUUCAAAGGGCCACAUUCGGCCAAAAACAAGGAUAACUGAUCCAUCCCUCAUACUCCAAAGUCAAAGUCCCCGGACAACGAAGCACCAAACGCAUCCGCAGGAUGAUCCACUUCCUCGCCACCAUCGUGAAAAUCGAUCGGGACCUCCUCGGUAUCAGGAGAAACCGGGAUGGAAUCCCAGAAGCCUUGAAUCCUCUCGUCGAUCGGAGGGAUAAGCGCCUCAGCGUGGGCACGGUCACUCAUCCCACUCUUCAUCAAGCUCAUUUCCUCUUCAAACACAUAGUCGUCG
rnacentral:lncRNA from 1 species